UCCAUGACGACCACACCCCGCCCCACUGCGUCAUGGCUCUCCACCCCCGGAUCCUUGGCCAGAGUGGUCGGCCCCCCAGGGACGUCACAGACACCCACUUACAUCUGGCCCUGGUGGUCCCGUGUGUCCUGGGGGUCCCUGUCAGAGGAAGGACCAGAAAAAAGUGAAGCAAAAGUUUUACAAGGAAAAGAUGGAGAGAGACACCGUGGCCCACCAGAGCAGGUGCACGUUCCUGGGGGAGACACCUGGGCCGAGUGCCAGCCAGAGGACACCCGAGCACAGCGUUGAUUCGAAGGAGGAUUUUUAAAUUCAUCAUCCUGUGGAAGGUGUGACGGGGCUAACCGACCCCGGGGGGCGUCCGUACGUCCCGUCCAGUGACCCGCCCGGGCAGCACCCCCAGGACAGGACCAGAGAUGGGGCUACGUGCCUCCGGGGCUGGGAGUGCCGACCCCGGAGCUCAGAGAAACCCGGCACGAACAGGGCUGCCCAAGGUCGCGCCAGCCAUGGCCUGCAAAAUCUUUAGGGUUCCAGAAAAUUUCAUAAUGACAAAAUUAAAGAAAAACUUUGUGAAGUCAAAUUUA